CCUCCAUCUAGGUUUCCCUCCCUUGUGUUGCAGCCUGGAAAGCCAAUUUUGGAAGCCAGAAGCCAGAAAUCAUUCACUGGGCUAAAGUCACGGUGUUGGCAGCUUGGACGGUUAAGCCUGUUGCCCAAGAACACAUUCAUAUCACGUUUGCCAUGGACUCUUAACUCAGGUAUGUUUAGCUCAGAAUGAAUU